rnacentral:rRNA from 1 species
AUACGGAGGGUGCGAGCGUUGUUCGGAAUUAUUGGGCGUAAAGAGCAUGUAGGCGGUCUGUUAAGUCUGGUGUGAAAGCCCGGGGCUCAACCCCGGAAGUGCAUUGGAUACUGGCAGACUUGAGUAUGGGAGAGGAAAGCGGAAUUCCGAGUGUAGGAGUGAAAUCCGUAGAUAUUCGGAGGAACACCAGUGGCGAAGGCGGCUUUCUGGACCAAUACUGACGCUGAGAUGCGAAAGCGUGGGGAGCGAACAGGAUUAGAAACCCUGGUAGUCC